AACGAACGCUGGCGGCGUGGAUAAGACAUGCAAGUCGAACGGGAUUAGUCUGGUAGUAAUAUUAGAUUGGUCUAGUGGCGAAUGGGUGCGUAACACGUGGGCAAUCUACCGGAAAGAGGGGGAUAGCUCGCCGAAAGGCGAAUUAAUACCGCAUGUGGUUAGGGAAGACAUCUUCCCAACACUAAAGUCGGGGUAACCUGACGCUUUCUGAUGAGCCCGCGGCCUAUCAGCUAGUUGGUGAGGUAACGGCUCACCAAGGCUAUGACGGGUAGCUGGUCUGAGAGGACGACCAGCCACACUGGAACUGAGACACGGUCCAGACACCUACGGGAGGCAG
rnacentral:rRNA from 1 species